AAGUCGUAACAAGGUUUCCGUAGGUGAACCUGCGGAAGGAUCAUUAAACGUUUUCCAACGUACCAACCACGUGAACUCGUUUUCGAGUGUCUGCGGUCGGCCUUGAGGGCGUCAAAGUAUGGUGGGCAUCCGCGGGCCGCAAGGCUCGAGGCUCUGCUGUUUGACGUUCUGCAUCGUCUUCGGACGAGACAAGCCGCGCCUCAGCAACCAUUUCAUUCUUAAUUAUUUUUUAAAACGCAUUGUACCACUCGUACUAACACUUUGUGAAGUCGGCAGAGCGCGCUUGCGUGCACUCCGAUGAACUUAAAGACAUUAAUUGCUGAACAACUCUUAGCAACGGAUAUCUUGGUUCUC
rnacentral:misc_RNA from 1 species